AGUACAAGUACAUCGACCACUAGUUCACCAAUUGGCACAGCAUCUACUCCGGCGUCGCCCCAUACAGAACGGCUGUUGGUGUGCGUCACAAGCGAUGUCAACAAAAUGCCAGAUAAUCUCUGCGAUGUCCUGUUGCUCGAAUGCCGUGACAGGUUUCCGUUCAAAAGGAGGCAAAGUGAAGUCGAAAAAUUCGCCACGGCUAAUGCAGUAACUUGCCGUGGCACGAAAUGCGGCAUUGACAUGCCUAUACUGGUACCUAGCAAGUCACUUCAAGACUUACAGACGACGAAUGGAAGGGAUAAUCUGGCGUGGUUCGGGAGAAACAAUUUGCCCCAUUUUGCGCAACUCAACAUAAAACUUUUCAC